UACGUAGGGUGCGAGCGUUGUCCGGAAUUAUUGGGCGUAAAGAGCUCGUAGGCGGUGUGUCACGUCGGCCGUGAAAACCUGCAGCUUAACUGUGGGCGUGCGGUCGAUACGGGCAGACUAGAGGUAUGCAGGGGAGAACGGAAUUCCUGGUGUAGCGGUGAAAUGCGGCAGAUAUCAGGAGGAACACCGGUGGCGAAGGCGGUCUCGUGG
rnacentral:rRNA from 1 species